UCCACUCCCAGAAUUUUACUCUGAGGCAUUAGAUAGGGAUUGGCACAUUGGUCAGUUUCAGUGUCAUGAUAACCUCUUAUGCAAUUCUCCUGCUGGGCAGCGCGUUACAUAGUAUAGUGGUUUGCUGCUUAUCUAGGCCAAAUUUUGAAUUCUGGUAAACAAGAUGUGCGCGCUUACUCCGUGCCGAUUUGAAUGAGAAGACUUUGCACCAUAUAAACCACAAUAAUAACCUCGGGAUUUAUUAACUUUGAAUGCAUGGUGUUGGUUGCAUCAUCCGUAUUUUCAAAUUCCCACAUUCAAAAGACCCGCCUUUGGUGAAGGCAAAGGUAUUGUGCUAUUCUCUCCGAGGGGCGGGUUCCUUAUCAGCCUUUUCAGUGUAUGUGAUUCUAACUAAUUUUUCUAGAUCCGCCG